GAUGAAGAACGUAGCGAAAUGCGAUAAGUAAUGUGAAUUGCAGAAUUCAGUGAAUCAUCGAAUCUUUGAACGCACAUUGCGCCCCCUGGUAUUCCGGGGGGCAUGCCUGUCCGAGCGUCAUUACUGCCCUCAAGCGCGGCUUGUGUGUUGGGCCCUCGUCCCCCCCGGGGGACGUGCCCGAAAGGCAGUGGCGGCGCCGUGCCCGGACCUCGAGCGUAUGGGGCUUUGUCACCCGCUCUGGAGACCCGGCCCGCGGCCGUCGGACCACCCCAACCUUUUUAACCGGUUGACCUCGGAUCAGGCAGGGAUACCCGCUGAACUUAAGCAUAUCAAUAAGCGGAGGA
rnacentral:misc_RNA from 1 species